rfam:Dorea sp. CAG:317, WGS project CBGJ01000000 data, contig: 82
GGUCAGGUGAUCAGACCUAAAACAGUCGAUUCAUGGCGGAUGGUUACACGCCUAAAACAACCUA